CUUAAGGCGUCUAAAGCGAACGCCUGAGAUUUUUUUUUUUUCUUCUUCACCAAAACGACGUCGUUUUGGUGGUUUUGAGAGUUAAAACUCCUUCAGGUCUCGAGCUGAAGUUAUUUUCGAUUCCUUCAGCCUCCUCCAUCAAAACUCCGACUCUUUCACUUCCAAAUCCCAAUUCCCAAGAAACAAAUUUGAUAAAAUCAUCAAGAGCCCAUGAGUUUUUUCAAGGAUUUAGCUCUAAAGGAGGCUUUUUUCGCACUUGGAGCAAGAUAUUUUCUCACUUGGAAUCGGAUUUGCAGCAAAGGAUUUAAGUAAUGUUCCUAGUAUGGCAGAUCGAACACCUUCAAGUAUAGUGAGGCUGGCUAGAGUACUCAUCACUGAUAAUUAGAUUCUGGGGCACAUGAUGUGGCUGCAUAGACAAGACUCCUAGGAGAAGUUUGAGGGAUCUCAGUGAAGCCAAUAACAAUGAUGCUGAUAAUCAGCUUUUAAGCUUUGAGCCAUUACCAUCAGAAUUGUAUGUAAACAAUUCUCAACUUCUGUUUUUUUCAGUCUGUGUGAUUGGUUUCUGAGUUUCAGUGUGUAAUUGGGAGGGAGUAGUCUGAUUUUGGUUGUCAAAUUUUAGUUUUUGGUUACAAUACAUGUUCUAUAUAUAAGACUAGUUAUAUACAUAAAUACAACUGAU